rnacentral:rRNA from 1 species
GUUUGAUCCUGGCUCAGAACGAACGCUGGCGGUAUGCUUAACACAUGCAAGUCGAACGAGAAAACCACUUCGGUGGCAAGUAAAGUGGCGCACGGGUGAGUAACGCGUAGAUAAUCUACCCUCUAGUCCGGGACAACUUCUCGAAAGGGGAGCUAAUACCAUCGAGUGUUUCAAUGUUAAAAGGUUUACUGCUAGGGGAUGAGUCUGCGUACCAUUAGCUUGUUGGUAGGGUAAUGGCCUACCAAGGCUACGAUGGUUAGCGGGUCUGAGAGGAUGAUCCGCCACACUGGAACUGAGACACGGUCCAGACUCCUACGGGAGGCAGCAGUGGGGAAUUUUGCGCAAUGGGCGAAAGCCUGACGCAGCAAUACCGCGUGAGUGAAGAAGGCCUUUGGGUCGUAAAGCUCUUUUCUAAGGGAAGAUAGUGACGGUACCUUAGGAAUAAGCACCGGCUAACUCCGUGCCAGCAGCCGCGGUAAUACGGAGGGUGCGAGCGUUGUUCGGAUUUACUGGGCGUAAAGGGCGCGUAGGCGGUUUAACAAGUCAGAUGUGAAAGCCCCGGGCUCAACCUGGGAACUGCAUUUGAAACUGGUUAACUAGAGUGUGGUAGAGGAGAGUGGAAUUUCAGGUGUAGCGGUGAAAUGCGUAGAGAUCUGAAGGAACACCAGUGGCGAAGGCGGCUCUUUGGACCAACACUGACGCUGAGGUGCGAAAGCGUGGGUAGCAAACGGGAUUAGAUACCCCGGUAGUCCACGCCGUAAACGAUGUCAACUAGCUGUUGGGAGGAUCUGCCUCUUAGUAGCGUAGCUAACGCGAUAAGUUGACCGCCUGGGGAGUACGGCCGCAAGGCUAAAACUCAAAUGAAUUGACGGGGGCCCGCACAAGCGGUGGAGCAUGUGGUUUAAUUCGAUGCAACGCGAAAAACCUUACCUGCCCUUGACAUGUAGCGAACAUUCCAGAGAUGGAUUGGUGCCUUCGGGAACGCUAACACAGGUCCUGCAUGGCUGUCGUCAGCUCGUGUCGUGAGAUGUUGGGUUAAGUCCCGUAACGAGCGCAACCCUUAUCCUUAGUUACCAGCACGUUAUGGUGGGGACUCUAAGGAGACUGCCGGUGAUAAACCGGAGGAAGGUGAGGACGACGUCAAGUCAUCAUGGCCCUUAUGAGUAGGGCUACACACGUGCUACAAUGGGCAGUAUAGAGGGUCGCAAUACCGCAAGGUGGAGCAAAUCCCAGAAAGCUGCUCUCAGUCCGGAUUGGAGUCUGCAACUCGACUCCAUGAAGUUGGAAUCGCUAGUAAUCGCGAAUCAGCAUGUCGCGGUGAAUACGUUCUCGGGCCUUGUACACACCGCCCGUCACACCAUGGGAGUGAGUUGCACCAGAAGUGGUUAGUCUAACCUUCGGGAGGACGAUCACCACGGUGUGAUUCAUGACUGGGGUGAAGUCAUAACAAGGUAGCCGUA